CCAAACCCAAAUAUUUUCAUGAAUGUUACAGGUCAUUUUUGUUAAUGUGUAAGUACAUCAAACAUGUUCUAACAAGCAGGAAAAUUGUAGAAACAUUCAAAUGAUGAGCAGUUCCUAAUUCCUAUCAUGGAAUCACUGCAUGAUGCAUUGCACUGAGCACCUUCUGUGUGAUAUGGAGAUGGGCAGAGGCAAAGAUCAAGGAAUUAAAAUUCGAAAAGAAUAAAUAAGCUAUCAGUAAGCCAAUAGAAAUCAACACAGAAAAAAUAAAUAAGUUUACUUCAGUAGCCGAUAGGGAUCGACGCAUUUGGAGACAUAACUACCACAACAAAGAUUCCAUCGUUGUAAUAAUAGCCUUAGUGCUGAGUUAUACUCCUUAAAAUAUGUCUCGGGCAUUUUCUUCAAGUACCUUGUAGGCAACAAGAAUGACAAUGAUUCUAGGGAAUGAAAUUCUCUCGCACAUAAUCUGACUUGUAUUGUAAAUUCACCUAGCUGUAUGAAAAUCAAAACCAAUCAUUAAAUAGGUUAUCCAAAGAAUUGAUAAACAGACUUUAAGAGCGAAAGUGUUUUAACCUGAACUUCCAAGAAAUCAUCAAAGCAGAAGUGGCUUCCCUCCCAUCAAUAAACUUCCAGGUGAACAUGAGAAGCAUGACCAUGGAGAAUCAUACCUGAAUACCUUAAUAGAGAGUCAUAACUGUCCUGGCAAUAGCACAUCUCUUUGUCCCUCCUAUAUUCUUCAAUCACAUCAGAAUACUAAAAUUGACCAUAUAUCAUUUUCAAGAGAAUAAAAAUGAUCGAUCAAACAAUUGGUCUAAUUCAAAAGUUUGUGUCCUUCAUUCUCAUAAUCGUCAGUCUUCUUAACCAACUUAUUCUUGCAAUACAACAUCUUUCUCCCAGCCCUCAACCCCAUCCAUCUUCAUUCAUAACACCAUUUUUAACCCUCUUUUCAAAAUCAAUCAGGUGAAUAUUUGAGAGUAGUAAUUUGAUCUCCCUCCUUAUUGAUUAGUAGACAUAAUAUAACAUUAAAUCUUUCCAUGUGCAGUUGCUGGCAACCUCUGUCAUUUAGUGAAGAGGUGGUAGCUGUGGUGUCAGCAAAAAAAUUAAAAAUAAUAAUGCAUUGAUGUAUUGCAAGUUUCUUGAGACCAAUAUAAUAGCUUUGAAGAUUUCCUACACCAAUCCCGGCCUCAUGGCAUUCCAGACAGCCUAUGUAGAUGAAGCAAGUGCAACCAUAUCUUGUAAAAGAAAGAUAUAUCAGCUUCACAAAGGUACUCCUGAAAAUAUCUCAAUUAAAAAUACACAUCUCUCUAUGGUUCCACCUUCAUCAUAAUGUUACCGUCA
rnacentral:lncRNA from 1 species